rnacentral:rRNA from 1 species
UACGAAGGGGGCGAGCGUUGUUCGGAAUUACUGGGCGUAAAGGGCGCGUAGGCGGCCCCUUUUGUCGCGUGUGAAAGCCCCGGGCUCAACCUGGGAGGUGCGCGCGAAACGGGGGGGCUUGAGUUCGGGAGAGGAGAGUGGAAUUCCCAGUGUAGAGGUGAAAUUCGUAGAUAUUAGGAAGAACACCAGUGGCGAAGGCGGCUCACUGGCCCGGUACUGACGCUGAGGCGCGAAAGCGUGGGGAGCAAACAGG